ensembl:rRNA 5S_rRNA 5S ribosomal RNA
GCUUACGGCCAUACCACCCUGAACACGCCCGAUCUCGUCUGAUCUCGGAAGCUAAACAGGGUCGGGCCUGGUCAGUACUUGGAUGGGAGACCGCCUGGGAAUACCAGGUGCUGUGAGCU